CCGACACCUCCUGCCACAUGCACACCAAGAAAGCCAAAUUAACCCCCACUCACCCUGCUCUUCUCUGUUGGCAGCAGGGACAGUAGGGUACUGCUGUCCACCUCCCCCAUCAACAGCUCUGACACACUGAGGAGGACAGAGAGAGGCCAUUACACUGACAGUACUUCCAUCAGAGAUGGAGAGAGAGGAAGGACUAAAAUAAAAAAGGGAAAAUGUGUAGAUCAAAUAGGAUUUGAUCGGUUAAAGCAAUGUGAAGGGUACAUGUCGGGUUCUUUCCCCUACCGGUGGUCAUGGAAAGAAAAAGGAAACUAGGAAAGGAGACAAGGAGAGAGAAAAAACAUCAGGAAGUGGUUGAUGCCAGGCUCUGUGCAAUCGCACCGGCCAUAUAACUUCCUCUCUGUCUUCUUUGCCCUGUUGGGGUUGUAUGUACUGUGCAUGGCCAGGAAGUGAACAAGCGUUCUUUUGAAUUAUAGGACCUGAGCCCUAGGACCAUGCCUCAGGACUACCUGACAUGAUGACUCCUUGCUGUCCCCAGUCCACCUGGCCGUGCUUGCUGCUCCAGUUUCAACUGUUCUGCCUUAUUAUUAUUGGACCAUGCUGGUCAUUUAUGAACAUUUGAACAUCUUGGCCAUGUUCUGUUAUAAUCUCCACCCGGCACAGCCAGAAGAGGACUGGCCACCCCACAUAGCCUGCUUCCUCUCUAGGUUUCUUCCUAGGUUUUGGCCUUUCUAGGGAGUUUUUCCUAGCCACUGUGCUUCUACACCUGCAUUGCUUGCUGUUUGGGGUUUUAGGCUGUGUUUCUGUACAGCACUUUGAGAUAUCAGCUGAUGUACAAAGGGCUAUAUAAAUAAAUUUGAUUUGAGGGAGCACAUCA